UGGGGUUCAAUGUCUCUCGUCACAUUUGGACUUUCCCAUUGAGAGGGUGCAGUUCCCAAGGUCUGGUUUUCAUAGAAGAGUCUUCAUGCAGCUCUUCAAAUAUGCUGUUUCCAGUCAUCGAUAUAGUUCCCCAUGCAUUGGUGAAAGAUACAAUUCCUCAUGAACUGAUGCCUAAGGCCCUACAGCGUACCUGCUACUGCCCAGUCCUAACAGAAGCUCACACUGAUAUUAGUGAGGAAAAGACACCAGUCCUCAUUAACUGUCUGGUGGCUAACACCCUGCAGCACACCUGCUGAGUGAACCAAAGCCAUCUUCCUCAAUAACUGUCUGAUGGCUGACGCCCUAAGCACACCUGCUACUGCUCAAUCUUAACAGAGGCUUUCCAUGAUCCUUAAUGAACAGAGGCAAGUAAACAAAACUAUGCUGGCAUUAUUCGAAAACAGAGGAAUGUCUCUUACUUUCAAAAACAAGAGGAAGACUGACAAAGAUUCUUUUAAAAUUAUCCCAUUAUUAAAUAUUGGGGGAUCAUGUAGUUAAUGACAUUAUAUUAACUUGUACAACUUCACAAUGCAACAUAGCACACUCCAGUUUGUGCUCAACACUCACAGGAUAGCAUCCUUGUAUUGGAACUCCUUUGCCAUCGUAUCCUCACUCAUGCUUUUUCCCCUACGGUGACCGCCAUGGAAAAAGUCUGCAGGUAGGAGAUCUUCAAGGUGAAUGAGGAGGUGAACGGCCCAAUCUCUGCCCAUCGUGAUGGGUUCAUUACCCACUGUCCUUCACAAACAUCCCGAAUGGUCCUUUGUAGCGCAGCCGUCCAGUUUCCUGUUGGAUAUUGACAUCAUGCAGAGUCACCGGACAAAUAUGAAAACUCAAGGUAUCUGAGGCCCGGACACACCUCCAUGACUAGCCGGCUGCCUCGGAGCUGGGGACUCCGUGCUUCCUGCCAUCAGCAGAUCCAGCCCCAGAAACAGACGAGUUUACAAUCAUCUCUGAAAACUGCCACGAAUGGGUGUCCUGUUCUAAGCCGGGUCACCCAGGAAGGACGGGGGUAUGAGGGACAUUUUGCUCCAGAAACAGAAUGUCCAAAAAGGCCCAGCCCAUUAUUUUCCCCAGAAACGGCUGGAGGAGAGUAAAAUCCCAACAUGAGCCCCGAAGGCGUCUGUGCCCAGGGGAUGGCGUUGCCGGCUGAGGAGGGGCAGCAGGGGACACGGGCAGUUUCUCCACAGGCCGCAGCGGAAAGCUGGGCAGGAGCCUGGCGGGCCCCGGGUUCUCUAAGAGGUUCUUCUAGAAACAGACCCCUCAGAUGCUUCCUCUCACCUCAGGUAAGAAGUUACCGUUAAGGCACUUGGGGAGCUUCCCUUCCAGCUUCAGAAAGGAGGCGCAGAUAUGUGAGUCAUCAGUACAGCCCGCCUCCAGGCUUUAGUGGGCGACCUGAAGGUGGGGAACCCCGUAGAAGUGGACAAAGGCUGCUGCCACCACCAUGACACUAAUUACCCGAUGUGACUGGUUCCAUGUGUCAACUUAAUAGGACCGAGCGCUCUGUAACUGGAGCAGCCUGGCGGCCAGCUCUGGGGCUGCACAGCCCAGCCAUGAGGAAGAGCCGGCCCAGCUGCCCGCGUGUGGCCUUGACACAGCCCCUGGAGAGAGUCAAGGGCGUGGUGGACACAACACUACACCAGCCAGGGACCAGGGACACCCCUGACCUUGUCCGCAGGUGUUUAGCGGGGACCCACUUUGCCACAAUGGUGGCGGGAUGCCCAGGACACAGAUGAUGGAGUGG